AUUGAACGCUGGCGGCAUGCCUUACACAUGCAAGUCGAACGGUAACAGGUUAAGCUGACGAGUGGCGAACGGGUGAGUAAUGUAUCGGAACGUGCCCAGUCGUGGGGGAUAAUUGCUCGAAAGAGCAGCUAAUACCGCAUACGACCUGAGGGUGAAAGCGGGGGAUCGCAAGACCUCGCGCGAUUGGAGCGGCCGAUAUCAGAUUAGGUAGUUGGUGAGGUAAAGGCUCACCAAGCCGACGAUCUGUAGCUGGUCUGAGAGGACGACCAGCCACACUGGGACUGAGACACGGCCCAGACUCCUACGGGAGGCAGCAGUGGGGAAUUUUGGACAAUGGGCGCAAGCCUGAUCCAGCCAUGCCGCGUGCGGGAAGAAGGCCUUCGGGUUGUAAACCGCUUUUGUCAGGGAAGAAAAGGUUCUGGCUAAUACCUGGGACUCAUGACGGUACCUGAAGAAUAAGCACCGGCUAACUACGUGCCAGCAGCCGCGGUAACAC
rnacentral:rRNA from 1 species